UACGUAGGGUGCGAGCGUUAAUCGGAAUUACUGGGCGUAAAGCGUGCGCAGGCGGUUUUGUAAGUCAGAUGUGGAAUCCCCGGGCUUAACCUGGGAACUGCGUUUGAAACUACAAGGCUAGAGUGUGACAGAGGGGGGUGGAAUUCCACGUGUAGCAGUGAAAUGCGUAGAGAUGCGGAGGAACACCGAUGGCGAAGGCAGCCCCCUGGGCUAGCACUGACGCUCAGGCACGAAAGCGUGGGGAGCAAACAGG
rnacentral:rRNA from 1 species